rnacentral:misc_RNA from 1 species
AUCUUCCUUUAUUCUGUGUUUUGAUAAAAUGAUGUUUGGGAUUAUGCUGCUUUAAAUAGACAGAAAUGCUGCUCUUACGGCUGUGGGUGCCAAUCUAUGUGCAUUAUCCCUGACAAAAUUCCUAAACAGAUCAAAUAUCCUCCACUCCUUAUCUCCCCUUGUCAGCUACCAAAACUUCCAGGACCUUGUAUAGCCGCCAUUCCUCGCUGGUGGUACAGCGCAACUUCCGGUCGAUGUGAGGUCUUCCGGUAUGGCGGAUGUUGCGGGAAUGCCAAUAAUUUUCUUUCUCGAGAGGACUGCGAGAAGCAAUGUGUUUGACGACAUUUCUGAAUCGACACUGAUAAAAAAUUCUAAACAGAUAAUUUUGAUAAAUUUCACAUGAAAUAAAAUUUGGUAGACUUU